CACGUAGGGUGCGAGCGUUGUCCGGAAUUAUUGGGCGUAAAGAGCUCGUAGGCGGUGUGUCGCGUCGGCCGUGAAAACCUGCAGCUUAACUGUGGGCGUGCGGUCGAUACGGGCAUCACUGGAGUUCGGCAGGGGAGACUGGAAUUCCUGGUGUAGCGGUGAAAUGCGCAGAUAUCAGGAGGAACACCGGUGGCGAAGGCGGGUCUCUGGGCAACAACUGACGCUGAGGAGCGAAAGCGUGGGGGAGCGAACAGG
rnacentral:rRNA from 1 species